UACGUAGGGAGCAAGCGUUGUCCGGAAUCAUUGGGCGUAAAGCGCGCGUAGGCGGCCUCAUAAGUCCGUUGUGAAAGUCAAAGGCUCAACCUUUGAAAGCCGAUGGAUACUGUGAGGCUAGAGUCCGGAAGAGGCGAGUGGAAUUCCUGGUGUAGCGGUGGAAUGCGCAGAUAUCAGGAGGAACACCAAUAGCGAAGGCAGCUCGCUGGGACGGUACUGACGCUAAGGGCGCGAAAAGCGUGGGGAGCGAACAGG
rnacentral:rRNA from 1 species